GAUGAACGCUGGCGGCGUGCAUAACACAUUCAAGUCGAACGGUGACGCACCUUCGGGUGCUGAUCAGUGGCGGACGGGUGAGUAACGCGUGAGCAAUCUGCCCUAUACUCAGGGAUAACACAGGGAAACUUGUGCUAAUACCUGAUGACAUAUACGGAUCGCAUGUUCUGUAUAUCAAAGCUCCGGUGGUAUAGGAUGAGCUCGCGUAUGAUUAGAUAGUUGGUGAGGUAACGGCUCACCAAGCCGACGAUCAGUAGCCGGACUGAGAGGUUGACCGGCCACAUUGGAACUGAGAUACGGUCCAGACUCCUACGGGAGGCAGCAGUGGGGAAUAUUGGGCAAUGGGCGAAAGCCUGACCCAGCGACGCCGCGUGAGGGAAGAAGGUCUUCGGAUUGUAAACCUUUGUUGACAGGGACGAAGAAAGUGACGGUACCUGUCGAGGAAGCCACGGCUAACUACGUG
rnacentral:rRNA from 1 species